UACGUAGGGUGCAAGCGUUGUCCGGAAUUAUUGGGCGUAAAGAGCUCGUAGGCGGUUUGUCGCGUCUGCUGUGAAAACCCGGGGCUCAACCCCGGGCCUGCAGUCGAUACGGGCAGGCUAGAGUCCGGCAGGGGAGACUGGAAUUCCUGGUGUAGCGGUGAAAUGCGCAGAUAUCAGGAGGAACACCGGUGGCGAAGGCGGGUCUCUGGGCCGGAACUGACGCUGAGGAGCGAAAGCGUGGGGAGCGAACAGG
rnacentral:rRNA from 1 species